AUUGAACGCUAGCGGCAGGCCUAACACAUGCAAGUCGAGCGGCUGAAGGGAGCUUGCUCCUGGAUUCAGCGGCGGACGGGUGAGUAAUGCCUAGGAAUCUGCCUGGUAGUGGGGGAUAACGUCCGGAAACGGGCGCUAAUACCGCAUACGUCCUGAGGGAGAAAGUGGGGGAUCUUCGGACCUCACGCUAUCAGAUGAGCCUAGGUCGGAUUAGCUAGUUGGUGGGGUAAAGGCCUACCAAGGCGACGAUCCGUAACUGGUCUGAGAGGAUGAUCAGUCACACUGGAACUGAGACACGGUCCAGACUCCUACGGGAGGCAGCAGUGGGGAAUAUUGGACAAUGGGCGAAAGCCUGAUCCAGCCAUGCCGCGUGUGUGAAGAAGGUCUUCGGAUUGUAAAGCACUUUAAGUUGGGAGGAAGGGCAGUAAGUUAAUACCUUGCUAUUUUGACGUUACCAACAGAAUAAGCACCGGCUAACUUCGUG
rnacentral:rRNA from 1 species